GUGAGGAAUUUUCCGCAAUGGGCGAAAGUCUGACGGAGCAAUGCCGCGUGAAGGAUGAAGGCCUAUGGGUUGUAAACUUCUUUUCUCAGAAAAGAAUUAUGACGGUAUCUGAGGAAUAAGCAUCGGCUAACUCUGUGUCAGCAGCCGCGGUAAGACAGAGGAUGCAAGCGUUAUCCGUAAUGAUUGGGCGUAAAGCGUCGGUAGGUUGUUUAAAAAGUAUUCUGUCAAAGAUUAGGGCUUAACCCUAGAUAGGCAGAAUAAACUUUUAAGCUAGAGUUUGGUAGAGGCAGAGGGAAUUCCCGGUGGAGCGGUGAAAUGCGUAGAUAUCGGGAGGAACACCAAAGGCGAAGGCACUCUGCUGGGCCAAUACUAACACUGAGAGACGAAAGCGAGGGGAGCAAAUGGGAUUAGAAACCCGAGUAGUCC
rnacentral:rRNA from 1 species